UGGGGAAUAUUGGACAAUGGGCGAAAGCCUGAUCCAGCCAUGCCGCGUGUGUGAAGAAGGUCUUCGGAUUGUAAAGCACUUUAAGUUGGGAGGAAGGGCAGUAAGCGAAUACCUUGCUGUUUUGACGUUACCGACAGAAUAAGCACCGGCUAACUCUGUGCCAGCAGCCGCGGUAAUACAGAGGGUGCAAGCGUUAAUCGGAAUUACUGGGCGUAAAGCGCGCGUAGGUGGUUCGUUAAGUUGAAUGUGAAAGCCCCGGGCUCAACCUGGGAACUGCAUCCAAAACUGGCGAGCUAGAGUAGGGCAGAGGGUGGUGGAAUUUCCUGUGUAGCGGUGAAAUGCGUAGAUAUAGGAUGGUACACUUGUUGCGACGGCGACCACCUGGCUUAACACUGACGCUGAGGUACGAAAGCAUGGGGAGCAAACAGG
rnacentral:rRNA from 1 species